rnacentral:tmRNA from 1 species
GGGGCUGAUAUUUAGCUCGACGGUGGACUUUAACAACUAGUUUGCAGGUCGGUUCGCACUGAACGUUAUCCGGUGCAAACCAAACAAAUGCAAUAGCAUUUAUUUCAGGAGCCGGGCUUUUGCUCGGUUUCCGAAAGCGAUUUUCAAAUCCUUUUAAGGCUUUGACCUUCGCACCAGCUUUCGCGACAUACGCUUAAGCCACGCUCUUCAUGACAUCAGAUAGUGUCAGAGUGUGUCAUAUUAUCUGGUUGCCCAAGUUUUACUUUCCAUAAUACUUGUUAAGACUUAGGAAUAGGAGAUGCGACUUUUUGGCCGUUUACCGGCCGCAUUUUCAACAAUUUUUAAACGGCAUACACCUGUAGAAGACUAGUUAAUAAACCAUCGGACCCGGUUGCAAUUACCGGCAGCUCCACCA